rnacentral:rRNA from 1 species
UACAGAGGGGGCAAGCGUUAUUCGGAAUUACUGGGCGUAAAGGGCUCGUAGGUGGCCAACUAAGUCAGACGUGAAAUCCCUCAGCUUAACUGGGGAACUGCGUCUGAUACUGGAUGGCUUGAGUUUGGGAGAGGGAUGCGGAAUUCCAGGUGUAGCGGUGAAAUGCGUAGAUAUCUGGAGGAACACCGGUGGCGAAGGCGGCAUCCUGGACCAACACUGACACUGAUGAGCGAAAGCCAGGGGAGCAAACGGG